rnacentral:rRNA from 1 species
CCUACGGGGGGCUGCAGUCGGGAAUAUUGCGUAAUGGAGGAAACUCUGACGCAGUGACGCCGCGUGCAGGAAGAAGGUUUUCGGAUUGUAAACUGCUUUAGACAGGGAAGUAAAAAGUCAGUACCUGUAGAAUAAGCUCCGACUAACUACGUGCCAACAGCCGCGGUAAUACGUAGGGAGCAAGCGUUAUCCGGAUUUAUUGGGUGUAAAGGGAGCGUAGGCGGUGCAGCAAGUCAGAAGUGAAAGCCCGGGGCUCAACUCCGGGACUGCUUUUGAAACUGUUGAACUAGAUUGCAGGAGAGGUAAGUGGAAUUCCUGGUGUAGCGGUGAAAUGCGUAGAUAUUAGGAGGAACACCAGUGGCGAAGGCGGCUUACUGGACUGUAAAUGACGCUGAGGCUCGAAAGCGUGGGGAGCAAACAGGAUUAGAUACCCUAGUAGUC